CUGAGUGAGGGCCCUCUGGGUCCAACCUCCCACCCGUGUUUAUUGUACCUUGUUGCUUCGGUGCGCCCGCCUCACGGCCGCCGGGGGGCUUCUGCCCCCGGGUCCGCGCGCACCGGAGACACUAUUGAACUCUGUCUGAAGAUUGCAGUCUGAGUAUUAUUUUAAUACGUUA
rnacentral:misc_RNA from 1 species